rnacentral:lncRNA from 1 species
ACCUCGCUUGUCUCUAUCUAUCCACCUCUGGUUCUCUCUAGAACCUUCCUCUCUCCUCCUCUCUGAUGAGUUCUCUUCAUCUUCUCCGGCCACCUUCUGAUCUAAACCAUGGUGGUUUCACCACACACCAAGCCACCUAUUGUUCCUCACGUUUGGUUAAUUGAAGCUUCACGAAUUGACCAUAAAAAGUUGGGUUCAGACCUCUGUUCAUUCAAGCUUUACAGCCUGCUCUGGCAAACCAUGCCUGCUUCGGGCGUGGCUUCGACUCAUCCUUCUUAGAUCCAAGCCUUUCUCACUGUUUGGGUUCCUCUAAAAAUCCUAGCUUUGAGGUUUUUCUGAUCUCUUUAGAUCUUUUCUAGAUUUAUGCUUUCCCUAAGCUUUUAAAUAAUUUUCUAGAUUUUCUUUAAAAAAAACUAUACUUUCAAAACCAUUUCUUUUCCGAUCUAGGGGUUUUCUGAGAUAUUUAGAUGUUUCUCUUUCUUUUGUGUGUUUCUUAUACUGUAUUUUCCUCUUCUAUAUUCUUGUGUGUUUUUUCUAUUGUAUUUUCCCUAAUGUGUUCUUGUGUGUUUCUUCUAAUGUAUUUUCUCCUACUGUGUUCUUGAGUGUUUCUUAUUAAGUUUUCCCUACUGUGUUCUAGUUGAGUUUCUUCUUAAUAUGCUUCUCCUAUUGUUCUUAUCAAUUUUUUCAUUAUGUUUCGUAUUAGUUUCUUUUAAUAUGUUUUCUUUGAGCUCUUAUACUAUGUUUCGCAUGUUACCCUUCUAUCAUGUUUCUCAUGAGUUUCUGUUGUUGAAAGGAACAUGUUAGAGGUUUUAGUUCUUUUCUGAAACCUCUGAACCUGUUUCGACUUAAUUACGUGUCCUCUCAUAUCUGCACUCUAUUGAUGGUAGAAACCCUAUAAUUUGAGGGUUCUUCCAUCUUUGGAAACCAUUGUCUAUGUGAUUUGGUUGAACGAGUUUUAUUUAAAAAAAACUAUCUCUUUCUGACCUAUUUCGAGUCUCUGAAUUGAGUUUUGAAAUCUUUAUUUUUCAUAUGAUUCUGACUUUUGCUAAGCUCUUUUACACUGGAUCUUUUGUAUGCUACUAGAUUUUACUUCUCUUCUACAUUUCUAACCUAUGUAACAACCAUGCUCCUAAAGUUUAUUAUCUACUGAUUUUGCAAUGAUACGACAUCUUCUUUCAGCUUAACAUGUUCGUAUGCUCUUUAUAUGUGAUGAACUUCCCUCUAAAAUGGCUUUCAUAUUUGUGAUUAGUUCAGACUUCCUUCUAAAUUCUGUUUUAUCUCUUUCCUUGUUUGCUGAUUUCCCUAUGAGUCGACUUAAGUUAAAACGUUUCUCAGCUUUUCUGACUUGGUUCAUUAUGGACCAGUAAUGACAAAAUCUCUGACCCUCCAUUUACUGGCUACUAAUUGAUUUUCUUACCUUAUUUGUGCAACCGUGUAUUUCAAAAUUCUGUCUAUAAAUAACUUUUUGUGUAUUUAUCCUUAAUUGCCUACUUUGCACAAAAGGCUUGUUUAAUUUCUUUCCUUAAAUAACUUUCACCGUUUGAAUCUAAAUUCCUUGAUUAAAGGAAGUCUUGUGUGAUUGAUUCAUAAUUGAUAAUCAGUUCCGUAGUUAUUUUCUUACCUUAUUUCUGCAUGAUUUUCACACUAUAAAUGCACGACUCUUUCACAAACAAAGACUCAUUCACAUUCUUUCUAAACUCACACUUACACGCAAUAGUAUUCUCUCUUCUUGUCUGCAUUGUGGCAUGUUUACAAGACCUACUGCUUUUCUCUAUUUAUUUCUUUGAAAUUGGUAUGUCCUGAUUUAGGCACUAGUACCACAACAAUCUAUUUAUUUAGAGCCUUCAUAUCUAUGUCUACUUUCUGUUUCUACAUAAUUCAACAUUUGCUUUAGUAUGCUAACCUUUUUCUGCUUAUUUUUGUAUGAAUUCCAAACCCCUGCCUGUUGAUACCCAAUUUUUGCCUAUAUAUUUUCAUAUGCAAAAUACCUUUCAAAACAUUAUAUAUAUGCAUAUAUAAGUAUUCCCACGGUCCUAUUAUUUUUCUUAAUUUUUGAAGAUUUAAAAUUAAUUUUAUUGUCGUAUUCUAUCAAGAAAAAUCCAAUAAGUUUUCCCAAAAUUAUUGUUUUUGUAAUUUACUUAUUGAAUUCUCAUAUUUAUGCUAAACUAUAGCUCAGAUAAUUUUUUGCAUAUAUUUACAAAUUUAUCUAGUAUUUUUAAAGCUGAAUUGCAUAUAAUUGUAAUAUCAACCUCCUUUAUAAUGUGAUUGCAUUUUCAUUUAUAAACAUUAAGUCCAAUAUUCUUAAAUUUACAAUUAUAUGUUAUAAAUCAUUUUAGUACUUUCAAUUUAUUUUUAAAUUUUAAUUUUCUAUUUUUAUAAAAUAAAUGGGGAAAAUAACUAUUUAAAAUCUAGCCAGUUUUCAUUUUAAUUGUAGCCUAAAUUCUACCCCAAUUAAACCCAAUUUCAAUUCUAAAUCGCCUAGCCUAAUUCUUAAAAUUACCCGACCCAUAUCCCAUUCAAACGACCCACCUGGCGCCUUUAAAUCCAAUCAUUGAUCUAACAAAUCAACGACUCACAUUCCCCCUUUCCUUAAUUAAUUCCAAAUGACCCCAAAUCCUUCUCAUUUUCCACCUGCCAGCUGCAUCUGAACCCCUCAUUCUCUCAAACUCUCUUGAAGCUUCUCAAACCCUAGCCACCACCUCCUCCCUGAAAGCCACCGGAAUCCAUGGCUUCCAAGCCCAUGGAAGCUCUAUGCCCACCUCCUAUUGCUCCUACAUGCCUGAUUUUUGAAGAUUCAAGGCCUUACCACGACAAAGUUUUGUCCAGGCUUCGUUCGAUUCGAGUUCCACGACCAUCUCCGGUUUUGCUCCGGCGUACCAUGGUUGCUCGAGCUUGAUUUUGACCUCUCCGACUUAGAUUGGUGACUCUUCAAAGCCUUUCUCACUACUGGGGUUCUUAUAAAACCCUAAUCCUUUGGGGUUUUCACCGAUUCCCUUAGAUUUAUUCCAGAUCUAUGUUUUCCCUAAGUUUUCAAAAGAUUUCUCUCGUUUUUCUUUCAAAAAACUACUUUCAAAGCCAUUUUUUUUCCGAUCUAGGGUUUUUUGAAAAAGUAUUUAAAUGUUUCUUUGACCUUAUUUUCUUUUUCUUUUGUAUGUAUGCCUAUAUUGUGUUCUUGUAUUUCUUCUACCAUGUUCUUGUAUGUUUCUCCUACUGUGUUUUCCAAUACUAUGUUCUCGUAUGCUUCUCUAUUGUAUUUUUGUUUUCUAAUGUUGUGUGUUUAUCCUUAUAUAUUUUCCAUUACUAAGUUCUUAAGUUCCCUUGUUAAGCUAAGUUUCUUCUAAAAACUUCUUAGCAUGCUUCUUCUACUGUUCUUAUCAGUCUUUUCCAUUAUGUUUCAUAUUCGCUUCUUCUACUCUAUUUUCUUUGAAUCCUUCUACUAUGUUCUGCGUCUUACUUGCUAUCAUAGUUUUCUCAUGAGUUUUUUCUGCUGAAAGAAACAUGCAAGAGAUUUCAGUUCAUCUCAGAGACCUCUGAGCCUGUUUUGAUCACUUGCUUUCUCAUCUUUAUACUCGAUUAAUGGUGGAAACCCUAGAAUCUGGGGGUUUCUUCCAAGUUUGGUUAUGUGAUUUGCUUGAACUAGGGUUUUAUUUCAAAAGCCCCAAAUUUUUUAGACCAACUUCGAGUCUCUGAACUGAGUUUGGGCAUCUUUGUUUUCCUAUAAUUCUUACUUUUGCUAAUCUCUUCUACACUAGAUUUUUUUACAGAUUUUACAAUGACACGACAAUCUUCUUUCAUGCUUAACAUCUUCGUAUUCUCCUAAUAUAUGAUGAACUUCCCUCUAAAUUGGCUUUCAAAUUUGUGAUUAAUUCAUACUUCCCUCUGAAUAUGGUAUAAUUGAUUUCUUUCCAUUGUUUGCUGAUUUUCUCGGUGACUCGACCUAAGUUAAAACCCUUCUCAGAUUUUGCGACUUGGUUCAUUCAUGGAUCAGUAAUUACAAGAUCCCUAAUGAUUUUCUUACCUUAUUUGUACAACCGUGUAUUUCAAAACUCUGUCCUUAAAUAACUUUUUUAUGUAUUUGUCCUAAUUACAUGCUUUGCACAAAGUGCUUAUUCAGUUUCUUUCCUUAAAUUAUUUUUACCCGUUUGAAUCUGAAUCCCUUAAUUAAGGGAAGUCUUGUGUAAUUGAUGCGUAAUUAACAAUCAGUUCCUUAACUAUUUUCUUACCUUAAUUCUGCCGAAUUUUUACACUAUAAAAGGCACGACCCUUUUCACAAACUGAACACAUAAUUCAAAGUCCUUCUGAACUCAUACUUUCUUAAUAAUAUUCUCUCCUUGUCUGCAUUGUGUCCUGUUCAAAAGACCUACUGCUUUUCUUUGUUUGUUUCUCUAAAACUACAAUAUCCGAAUUUAAUUUUUAGAACCACAACAAUGUGUAUUUACUGCUUUUUGUGUCCAUGUUUGCUUGCUGAUUUUGUAUAUCUAAACACUUAAAUUGACAUGCUGAUCUCCUUCUGUUUGUUUGUUGUGAACCCCCAUUCCCCUAUUACCCCUAUGUGUUUUGAGUUAUGACCUAAGACAUGCAAUGUAAGUUGUUGUCCAUGAAUUAAGUUUGAUCCAUGGGGGUCUUAACCCCUAAGCAAUAUGUGCUAACAGGCCUAAGGGUGUGCCAGCAUCUCCCAUUGUUGGGUAUGCCCACCACCCUGCUUUUUGCCUCUUGCAACUCCCCAAUUACCCUAUACCUUUAUGCGUACUGAUUUAAGUUAUUUCCCAUUUCCCCUUUCAGAAUUUUACUUCUGCACUUUCACUCUCUCUGAGUCCCUAAGUUCUGCUGCCCUCUUGUGAGCCUUGCCUUGGGACCUUGAGUUCCCUCUGAACUUUGACACCUGAAGGUUGGCCCUUCCACACUGCACUAUGUCUUAAUCUGGUGACAGAUUUGGGUAUAAAGGACUGCCCGAAGUUCUUAUGAGACUCUUAGGGAACUUUGACACACCCCCAAAUGGGAGAAAGGCUUUCAAAUAUGAUCUGUUGGAGUUGGUUUACUUCAUACUUUAGACAUGAAGUCUAAAUUAGGCUCUCCUUGGUUAUACUUUUUAAUUUCUGAUGUAUUUUUCUUUACUUACUUUCUUCUGGGCUAUAAUAACUUUGUAAUAAAACUCUCGGGGAUGUCUAGUGAAAAGGGAGGGGUAACCUUGUAGCAAAAAGGGUAGAUAACCUGCCUAUAAGUGUUUCUAAUCUGCACUAUAUAUAUAUACUGCAU